rnacentral:rRNA from 1 species
AUUGAACGCUGGCGGCAGGCCUAACACAUGCAAGUCGAACGGUAGCACAGAGAGCUUGCUCUCGGGUAACGAGUGGCGGACGGGUGAGUAACGUCUGGGAAACUGCCCGAUGGAGGGAGAUAACUACUGGAAACGGUAGCUAAUACCGCAUAACGUCGCAAGACCAAAGUGGGGGACCUUCGGGCCUCACACCAUCGGAUGUGCCCAGAUGGGAUUAGCUAGUAGGUGGGGUAAUGGCUCACCUAGGCGACGAUCCCUAGCUGGUCUGAGAGGAUGACCAGCCACACUGGAACUGAGACACGGUCCAGACUCCUACGGGAGGCAGCAGUGGGGAAUAUUGCACAAUGGGCGCAAGCCUGAUGCAGCCAUGCCGCGUGUAUGAAGAAGGCCUUCGGGUUGUAAAGUACUUUCAGCGGGGAGGAAGGCGGUGAAGUUAAUAGCUUCACCGAUUGACGUUACCCGCAGAAGAAGCACCGGCUAACUCCGUGCCAGCCGCCGCAGUAA